rnacentral:piRNA from 1 species
CGNGACGUUAGACAGACCUUAGAUGGUUC